rnacentral:piRNA from 1 species
UUCCCAGGCCAGGUUGUAAAGUUGCCC